AUUCGACAGGGAUUGUAGUGGAAAUCCUUUUUGCUGAUACUCGUCUUACUAAUUUUAGCAAAAAGAUUGUAGCAAAAAACCCGCCCGGUC
rnacentral:sRNA from 1 species